UGGUGCUCUGGUGUCCCCAGGUGGGCACUCGGGGCCUGACCACUGCCCAGCUGUGCAGGAGAGCUCAGCCCGGGACCCGGGGCUCUGCAAAAGUCUCCAUCCUUGCUAAAACUGCUGCCAAAUGUGUGGCUUCCACCAGAAGCGAGAAGAAAUCUCCACGUUGGUUCUUCCAGGAACAGAAAUGGCUCGGUGAACACCUCGUCUCUCGGAGCUCCAGCUCAGAGUCCGCUGCCUGCUUCUGUCCACCUGCUCUCGUGGGUUGCAUUUGAAAUGGCAGUGCAAGGCUGGGACUCUGGGCCGUGGCCGCCAGGUGCUCCGCCCACCCCGCUGAGUGGCUGAGGAAGCGGGAUGGGCCCGCCACCGCCAGCAGGACAUGAGCUGAGGCAGGCGGUGAGGACGCAGCGUUGGGUAAGAGCAACAGCCAGUGAGCUGCGUGUCACCCCUCAAUACCCACGUGGUCCGCGCUGUCAGGGGC
rnacentral:lncRNA from 1 species